UACGUAGGGGGCUAGCGUUGUCCGGAAUCAUUGGGCGUAAAGCGCGUGUAGGCGGCCCGAUAAGUCCGCUGUGAAAGUCCAGGGCUCAACCCUGGGAUGCCGGUGGAUACUGUCGGGCUCGAGUCCGGAAGAGGCGAGUGGAAUUCCUGGUGUAGCGGUGAAAUGCGCAGAUAUCAGGAGGAACACCAAUGCGAAGGCAGAUCUCUGGGCCGUAACUGACGCUGAGGAGCGAAAGCAUGGGGAGCGAACAGG
rnacentral:rRNA from 1 species